GGAAGUCGCUGUGGAUGGAUCGUGUAAAUACGGUUUCCUGAACACGCUUAUGGACAUGUGUGUUUACAGACAAAAGUUUGAGGAUCACAGCUAUCCAGUUUUGGUUUCAGCCUUGUUCCCCUUGUACAAAGAUUUCUCUGAUUAGUUUAAUGAUAUAAUUAGGGCUGAGUCAGAGUCGGAACACCCCCCCAGUUAGUUGGUUUUUAGUCAAACAUUUUAGGGUUUUAGUCGACCAAGAAUAUCUUUGGUUGAUUACAGCCCUACAUUGAAUGCACUGUACAUGAUAAAAUCCCCAAAUUCUUUACACUUUUGCUGUCAGAGUCUCUUAUAACGACUCUUCUUAUAGGAUCUCUCUGUAAUUCUUUUUAUUAAAUUAGUAAAAUUAUGUAUCUGUUGCAAAUAAGACAAAAAGUUCCUCCAGGUGUUUUUCUAGUAAAACCUUUUUUAGUGUUUUAUUGUUCGUUUCAACAUCCUGUUGUCAAAUUUACAAUAAAUAACAAAGUUUUCCAGUUUUAACAGUUAAUUCUUUGUCUUUGCAGGUUUAAAUGAUUUGUAAACCAUCAAAAUCAGUUUUAUCAACAUUUUAAACACCAUUCCAGCUUUUUCAGAAUCAGGGUGGUGGUACAAAAACAUGGAAUAUGGUGUCAGUGUUAUUGCUUUCGACAAAAGCUGUUAAUGAAAAAUGUGUCUGUGUCUGUCGAAUUACCGUCUCUUGCAUGAAGGCUUUAGAAAGAAAUAAAAGAAUGUCUCCAGGCUUGUAAAAUUCACAUCCAUGACUUGCUGGGUUCUCGCCCAUUGUUGUUCCAAAUCACAUAUCACCCACAUGUCUGAGAAAACUCUGCCAGGGGUUCGGUUAGCAAACCGUACUGCUCAGGAUCCAAUGACUGACUUCAAAUCCCUUCUUUCCUUCUUUUGUAUGAACUGUUCGGCAUUAGUUGCUUUCGGCUGUUGAUUCUCUUAAGAAUCACAAUCCUGCCUGUUCUCCGCUCAUGUUCUUUGAUAACACCUCAGACUGAUGUUGAGCAUUAUGUAAAGAGAGAAAGAGAGAAAUCCUGUUGGCUGUGAAGGAGUCAUGGUUGGAAACACAUCUCACUGUGGUAUAUUUGAGCUCAGCCUUUGAAGUUAUAAGUCUGCUAAUGCUUCCUGUUGGACCGGAGCUUCGAGAGCUCAUUUUAAUUGCUCCCAGAGAAAGAGGUGAGUGGUUAAGGAGUAACAGAUUUUAUGUAAAGGGGAUUACAGUAAUCUGAAUACAAAAUAUUGGCAGCUGUGAUCUGUUAGGAACUGUUCGAAAUUCCUCUCAUCCCACCCGUCCUUGUAUCCUGUCCCACAGGCUGCUUUGAGUCUGUAUCCUUUAGAAAAAUAAUCAGAUUAUUUUAGUCAAAUUGUUUUUAACACAUUAUUUAAACAACUUUUUGCUCGGAUUGGAUGAAAAAAAAUCAAAACUAGGACAAAAAAGUAACAAAAAAAUUGCCCCAAAAAAGUCACAUAAACCCAACAGAAGUUCCUGCAGUUCAGACUUUACAGUCUUAAGAGGACUGAACAGCAGCUGUCAUAUUUCAGACACGGAGGGAGGGGUGUGGCACACUUUAUGGCGAUCCUUGAAAAAUGUCUUAUUAGAACAAAAAGAAAAGAACAGUCUUGAAAAAUUCAAAAGUCAAAUUAUAGCUCAGCACCAGCCCAGAGUCUGUUACAGGCUCAUAGUGUGGCAUUAUGGGAGUGAGUGACUGACGUACAUUCAUAGUCGUCAUCUUGGGUCCUCAUUUUUGUUUGAGUGUUUUACAUGACGACCAGAAGAAGGGGCUAUAAAAAGACGAGUGUCGUACACUUGAAAGGUAGAGAGCCGUAGGUUGAGCUUCCUGAUGGGCUAUUGACUUGUUUGAUGUAAACAUGGACAGGGCGCAGGAUUAGCCAUCCUAAAGGCGACCCAACUCUCAAGGGUUUGAUCAUAAAUACCGAACGGGCUUAAUAUUUAUGAUUCAAAGUUGGGGGGGGGGCACAAUUACCCUCAGAGAUCAGGGGACGAAAAAUCACACAGCAGAAUAAUUUGGCGAGAUCAUCUUUAGAGCCAUCCAAUAAUCAGGACUUUUGUCAAAAGGAAGAAUCAGACCCAAAACUGGCAUGAUUACCUUGUAAUGUGUAUCCGACUUGGGUCUCUUGUUAAUACGUUUGCCAGUUGUUUUGGUAUGUGAUGUAAUUUGUCCAAUAGUAUUAAGCUUGAAGGAGGAAUAUUGCCUCUUAGUUUGAAUGAAUUCCUACUUAAUGCUUGUAAACUGACAUGUCUGUAGUCUAAUGUGAUGGCCAAAUCAAGAUAUUUUUUAAUGUGGGUAAAAAUUCAUUUUGGUGGGUGUUAAUAAAAACUUCAUUUGUUCCCCUGGCAGUAAUUUCUACAUUUCCCAUAAAUACUGUGCCGAAACGCUGCGUAAUGAGGUUUAAUAUGCCGGUAUUUCCCGGCGUUCAACCAGCGCGAGAAACAAACAAAGUGAGAGCAGGGAGUUUCGUAAAAACAGCAGAGAUUAAGUUUAGCUAGAUUAGAACUAAACUAAAUGCAGCGAUGGUUGAACUUGGGACAGACGAGGAAGAGUGGAGGAGAUGAGGAUAUUGGUGACAGAGCGUGCAAAACGGAAAAAAAGGAAGUAUACCAUCAAAUGGCUGACGGGUCAUGAAUGGCUUGUGCAGUCAACAGCACUCAUAAUCUCUUAAUUUCAUUGGAAAAAAUGGUUUGUGGAAAUUCUGAUUGGCUGGUAACUUUAUUUCCCGCGAUAAGUGAUAAAAAAAAAAAGUUAAUUUAGAACCCUGGCGAUAACCCUGGCGAUAACCCUAGCUCAACGUAACUUUGCAUGUAAGCGUACAAACUUUUCUGUGGGCUUAUUUUCAGAAGAUUGAUUAAAAAAAUGGUGUUGUCUUUUUUUGUCACUAGUUUGACUUGCAUGUGUGCAUUUGUAGCUUUGACCCACAUUUAACCUAAUCAGCAAGCUUGUCUUAAUUUUCACAUUCAGGCUUUUGCUCAAUGGUAAAUUCUGUAAAUGUUUACAGCAGAUAAAUGGAAUUUGUGAUAUUUGACAAACAGGCUGGCCAUAUCCAGGAAAAUUAACAAAAAAACACAAUGCAGUACAUACAAGACAAUUAUAUAUGUGCCUUUUUGGUUUCCAUUGAAUCUGGAUAUGAUCCAAGUCCUAGUACUAGUUGGAGACCUGGUGGUUAGAGACCCCCACUGCAGGCGAAUGAAUGUCAAAUCAAAAACAAGGGUGAAAAAUAACUCCAAGUCCGAGUAAUUAACGCUUUUGUUUGGCGGUAUUAGAAUCCUAUUCCUCCAUCUGCAUCAAGUCUACUGUUUAUCGAACAUUAAAACGAAUCAAUAAUACAAUCAAAGCAUCUGGAGUGGUCAGAGAUCCCAGCAUUAGAAGCUUUUAUGGAAAUACAUAGAAUGACAAGCAGAAAAUCAAUAAGUGCACACAUGCACUCACCACAGGGGGUCAUUAGGAACAUCUGAGCCGAAUUCCCUCACAUACAUCAAGCGUGCUGAAACACAAUAGACCUUAAAUCCUGUUUUUCAAUGGCUGACUUGACAUGGGGCAGCUUAUUGCCAUUGUGUUGACACAAAUUUGCUUCAACAAUAGUGCAAAGGGGAGAUCAAAUGUGCCCCUUGACUAAUCAUUCGUUAUCCUGCUAGCUUAAUGACCUGUGUAACGUGACAUUAGGACCAUGAACAGUGAGGAUGUGGAGUACUCUUAAUCGCAUUUUCAGCCGGACACGAGAGUGGACAUCAAGAGGCUGCAGCUGGAGUAGAGAAAAGGCGUGAUAGUCGUCGUAUCCGAAUAAAAGCUGAUACUGCUUUUAUCAUUUUACUCUUUUUAUUAAUCAAGAUGAAGAAGGUUGUGUUUUAUAGAGAGUACAGCAUGAGCCACAGUUACAGAAAACAGCCAAACUCCAGGACUCCAUCUUUGCAUGCAGCAUCUGUUGGACUUUAAUUGGCAGUUUGGGCAUGUCAGCUCACUCCCAAGCUCGAUUUGCAAUUGUUUGUAGUCUGAACAAAUCAAUUCAUGUUGUGUUUGUUUUGUCAAGACUAACCCAGAAAAAAAAAAAAAGAAAAGAAAAAAAAAAGCGCUGGACCAAUUUGAAAGUGCCAGUUAGUCCGGGAAUGUUGUUGUUGAUUUUCAUUUUCCAGGGGGAUGCUAUCAAAAUAUUUUGACCAAAUCUCUACAGAACAAGCGGCAACUUUGGUGUUGAAAGAUAAAGCUGAUGGUUCAAAAAGUGCAGUUUUUCAGCUGUCCACAAGGGGAUAGAAAGAAUGAAUGUCCACAUUAAGAUGCACAUUUUUGAA
rnacentral:lncRNA from 1 species